rnacentral:rRNA from 1 species
CGCCUCUUGUAAGACUAUAAAAUAAGAGGUCCCGCCUGCCCUGUGACUAUAAGUUUAACGGCCGCGGUAUUUUGACCGUGCGAAGGUAGCGCAAUCACUUGUCUUUUAAAUGGAGACCUGUAUGAAUGGCACAACGAGGGCUUAACUGUCUCCUCUUUCAAGUCAAUGAAAUUGAUCUCCCCGUGCAGAAGCGGGGAUAAAAACAUAAGACGAGAAGACCCUAUGAAGCUUCAGAUGUAAAGCAGAUCAUGUUAAACACUCCUUGUUAAAGGACAAAACCAAGUGAAACCUGCUCUAAUGUCUUUGGUUGGGGCGACCGCGGGGAAACAAAAAACCCCCACGUGGAAAGGGAGCACCCCUCCUACAACUAAGAGCCCCUGCUCUAGUUAACAGAAUUUCUGACCAAUAAGAUCCGGCAACGCCGAUCAACGGACCGAGUUACUCUAGGGAUAACAGCGCAAUCCCCUUUUAGAGCCCAUAUCGACAAGGGGGUUUACGACCUCGAUGUUGGAUCAGGACAUCCUAAUGGUGCAGCCGCUAUUAAGGGUUCGUUUGUUCAACGAUUAAAGUCCU